ACAUUUUGCUUUCGGUUUUCGGCUCGGCGGAGGCUCAGGUGCAACUUUCUUCGGUCGUCCCGAAUCCGGGUUCAUCCGACACCAGCCGCCUCCACGAUGCCGCCCAAGUUCGACCCCAACGAGAUCAAAGUCGUGUACCUGAGGUGCACCGGGGGCGAGGUCGGCGCCACGUCUGCGCUGGCCCCCAAGAUCGGCCCCCUGGGUCUGUCUCCAAAAAAGGUUGGUAAUGACAUCGCCAAGGCAACCGGUGACUGGAAAGGUCUUAGGAUUACAGUGAAACUGACCAUUCAGAACAGACAGGCCCAGAUUGAGGUGGUACCUUCUGCCUCUGCCCUGAUCAUCAAAGCCCUCAAGGAUCCACCGAGAGACAGAAAGAAACAGAAGACAUUAACACAGUGGAACAUCACCUUUGAUGAGAUUGUCAACAUUGCCCGACAAAUGCGACACCGGUCUCUA